GGGAGAAGGCGGACAGCUGACGCCCCUGCUUGGGGUGAGGAAAGUCCCCCCUCCAUAGAGUAGGAGGAACGGCGCAAGCCGUUACGGCGAGAGUCGUGGAAAUGGAGCAGAAACGACACAGCCUUAAGAGUACAAUGAUUCUGCGAAGAUGAGGUUUCAUAGGGAUUUGGUGAAACGGCCA
rnacentral:RNase_P_RNA from 1 species